rnacentral:rRNA from 1 species
CACGUAGGCACCAAGCGUUGUCCGGAUUUAUUGGGCGUAAAGAGCUCGUAGGCGGUUCGGUAAGUCGGGUGUGAAAACUCUGGGCUCAACCCAGAGCCGCCACCCGAUACUGCUGUGACUCGAGUGCGGUAGGGGAGCGGGGAAUUCCUGGUGUAGCGGUGAAAUGCGCAGAUAUCAGGAGGAACACCGGUGGCGAAGGCGGAUCUCUGGGCCAUUACUGACGCUGAGGAGCGAAAGCCAGGGGAGCAAACGGG